GAUCGGAGUCUGCAACCCGACUCCGUGAAGCUGGAUUCGCUAGUAAUCGCGCAUCAGCCAUGGCGCGGUGAAUACGUUCCCGGGCCUUGUACACACCGCCCGUCAAGCCAUGGAAGCCGGGGGCGCUUGAAGUGCGUUGCCGCAAGGCGCGCCCUAGAGCGAAACCGGUGACUGGGGCUAAGUCGUAACAAGGUAUC
rnacentral:rRNA from 1 species